GGAGCGGUAUCGAAGUGGUCAUAACGGGCCUGACUCGAAAUCAGGUAGCCGGCAACGGCUCGUGGGUUCGAAUCCCACCCGCUCCGCCA
rnacentral:tRNA from 1 species